UACAGAGGUCUCAAGCGUUGUUCGGAUUCAUUGGGCGUAAAGGGCGCGUAGGCGGCGGGGUCAGUCGGGUGUGAAAUCUUGGGGCUUAACCCCGAAACGGCACUCGAAACUGCCCGGCUGGAGGGCCGGAGAGGAGAUCGGAAUUCACGGUGUAGCAGUGAAAUGCGUAGAGAUCGUGAGGAAGACCCGUGGCGAAGGCGGAUCUCUGGACGGAUAACUGACGCUGAGGCGCGAAAGCCAGGGGAGCAAACGGG
rnacentral:rRNA from 1 species